rnacentral:rRNA from 1 species
UUCGUAGGUGGCAAGCGUUGUCCGGAUUUACUGGGCGUAAAGAGCGCGCAGGCGGUCGUUCAAGUCGCGUGUGAAAGCCCCCGGCUCAACUGGGGAGGGUCACGCGAUACUGAUCGACUCGAAGGCAGGAGAGGGUAGUGGAAUUCCCGGUGUAGUGGUGGAAUGCGUAGAUAUCGGGAGGAACACCAGUGGCGAAGGCGGUUGCCUGGAGCUUUGCUGACGCUGAUGCGCGAAAGCGUGGGGAGCGAUCCGG